rnacentral:rRNA from 1 species
UACGGGGGGGGGUAAGCGUUGUUCGGAAUUACUGGGCGUAAAGGGCUCGUAGGCGGCCAACUAAGUCAGACGUGAAAUCCCCUCAGCUUAACUGGGGAACUGCGUCUGAUACUGGAUGGCUUGGAUUCGGGAGAGGAAUGCGGAAUUCCAGGUGUAGCGGUGAAAUGCGUAGAUAUCUGGAGGAACACCGGUGGCGAAGGCGGCAUUCUGGACCGAUAUUGACGCUGAGGAGCGAAAGCCAGGGGAGCAAACGGG